CGCGGAGUGACUGACUGCGGGAGCCUGGGACCUGGAGCACCCCGGGGCCGGAGGAGAAGCCGACCUUGGCUAUCCUCGGCCGGCCGCAGCAGCCACGGCUACCUUCCCAAGCUUUUCCAGCCGCUUCUCCCACGCCGGCCGCCCCCCCCCGCCCCUGCCCCCUCCCCCGUGCUCACUAGCAGGUGAGAUGCUGGAAGACUGUCAGGGUCCUGCAAAGGAAAUCCAGUCUAAAAUAAGUAUCUUUCUCAAACCAGAAUCUCAAGGAAUAAAGGAUACCUCCAACAUGACUCCAGCCGCUGCUUCCAACAGUUCAUUUUGUAUAUUAAAAGAUGUUCAUCCUUGA